rnacentral:rRNA from 1 species
AGGCUUAACACAUGCAAGUCGAGGGGCAUCAGGAAGAAAGCUUGCUUUCUUUGCUGGCGACCGGCGCACGGGUGAGUAACACGUAUCCAACCUGCCCUUUACUCGGGGAUAGCCUUUCGAAAGAAAGAUUAAUACCCGAUAGUAUAAUGAUUCCGCAUGGUUUGAUUAUUAAAGGAUUCCGGUAAAGGAUGGGGAUGCGUUCCAUUAGGUUGUUGGUGAGGUAACGGCUCACCAAGCCUUCGAUGGAUAGGGGUUCUGAGAGGAAGGUCCCCCACAUUGGAACUGAGACACGGUCCAAACUCCUACGGGAGGCAGCAGUGAGGAAUAUUGGUCAAUGGGCGUUAGCCUGAACCAGCCAAGUAGCGUGAAGGAUGAAGGCUCUAUGGGUCGUAAACUUCUUUUAUAUAAGAAUAAAGUGCAGUAUGUAUACUGUUUUGUAUGUAUUAUAUGAAUAAGGAUCGGCUAACUCCGUGCCAGCAGCCGCGGUAAUACGGAGGAUCCGAGCGU